UAAGACGCCUAAGCUCGGCAGGAGGCCGGCGUGCCCACGUGUCCUGUAUGGAUUUUCCAGGCUCUUAGAGGAGAUUGAAAUUGCAAAGGUUUUAGGUUUUUACAUGCUCUCCAUUUCCUACAGCGUCGCCUACGUGCUGCUCGAGCUCAUCUAGCCCGCCUCCUCCUCUCCACUGAGUCCUACUCACCGUGCUCCUUGUCUACCCCACCUCCAUGUGCUCCCGUAUCUCACCACCGCGUGCUUCCACGCCGGCAUGCCGUCCACCAUCACACGCUCCAAUGCCAUCGGCGUGGGGAUGGGGGCGAUCGACGCGACGUAGAUGUAGAGUGUGAGGAGAGAAGACUUGGCGACGACGUAGAGGGAGUUCAAGACUAGUGGCGGCAGCGCAAAGGAGUGCGGGGAGGAGGAGUAUCGCAUAGAGGACGGAGCUCAGAGUCGAUGUGAAGGAAGAGCUCGACAUUGGGAGGAGCACGAAGAGGGAGAAUUUGGACCGUGAUGGGAAAAAGACAGAGAAGAACCAUGAUAAGGAAAAACGCCCCUUUUUACAUUA